rnacentral:rRNA from 1 species
UACGAAGGGGGCUAGCGUUGCUCGGAAUUACUGGGCGUAAAGCGCGUGUAGGCGGUUGUUCAAGUCGGGUGUGAAAGCCUUGAGCUCAACUCAAGAAAUGCACUCGGUACUGGAUGACUAGAGGACCGGAGAGGAUAGUGGAAUUCCUAGUGUAGUGGUGAAAUACGUAGAGAUUGGGAAGAACACCAGUGGCGAAGGCGGCUAUCUGGACGGUUUCUGACGCUAAGACGCGAAAGCGUGGGGAGCAAACAGG